rnacentral:lncRNA from 1 species
UUUCAAAGAUACUACAAGAAAGUCAACUUUUGUUAAGCUAUCUGGAACAAGCAACCAAGAUCUCUCAAAAAGCGGUCCUGUUCAGAUGGCAAAAGAGAAGCUUUGUGGACUUCUUAAAGCUACAUACUUCGGAAGGAAAGCUGAAUGCUGUAGAGCUGUAGGGGAUCAACUAUGGCCAG